CUCCCAUUCACGCCAGUGGGACCACAAAGCCAAAACCAAUUUUAGGUUGCAUUCAUUAGAACUGGAGUUUGCAAGUCAUAAGAAAGCAUGAGGGAAGAGCAACUCUGCGCAGAAGCCCAGUGUGAGGCACAUGUAUUUUAUCCACCAAUCAGAGGAGCAGAAGACUUCCCUAGAUCCCUCCCAAGUAACACCAAAAAGUAACGCUGGAAACGUUACAGUUGCUGCUCAAAAAAAAGAGAGGUGAAGAUGCACUGGAACCAGCAGAACACCAUAGAAGCAACAGCAGCACAUGCAAGGGACUGGUCCAGGGCCUGCACAGCCUCUCCUGAUUGGAUGUUAUGGAGAAAUAGAGCUGACUGCCAGCAGUAUACUGAUGACACCUUGCCCCGAAACUCCUAAUGAGUUUUCCAUUCCUUGUUUGUAACUUUCUUUAUUGCUAAUUCUUCUAUUUCUUGUAAACCUCUGAGAAGUUUUAU